CUCUCUCUCUGGCGAUUCUAGAUCUGGAUCUAGAGUUUUUCUCCAAGGCGAUUCAAGAUCUCAAUCUCAUCUCGCACCUGCUCUCCCUCUCUCUCUUCAACCUUGGUGAUACGGCUGCUAUCUGGGCUUCAAAUUGCACAUGGAAGCUACUAGGUAGUUUGAAACGUGCUUAUGUCGGCUUUCAAUCGCAACCGCUGGCUGAAGCCUUCCGUUAUUUCUGGUAUGGUCAUUGUUAUUUAGGCAUUCUGUUUAUUUGUUCACAUCACGCUUUCAUAUUAUAAGUUUGGGUUGAAUAGUUCAAGUUUUUGGGCUGCUAUGCAGAACCACCCAAAAAGAAAGUAGGCAUGUUGCUCAGGUAAAUGGCGGUAAGCGGUUGUGCCUCUGAAAUAGGCCUGGUGAUCCAGCUUGUGAUAAAUUCAACAUGGGUAAAAAUCAUUAUGUUUGCGACUUGUAACCGUGUAUACGUAUUGCACUCUCGAAUGAAAAACCGA